rnacentral:rRNA from 1 species
AUUGAACGCUGGCGGCAGGCCUAACACAUGCAAGUCGAACGAGUAGCGGACGGGUGAGUAAUGUCUGGGAAACUGGCCGAUGGAGGAGGAUAACUACGGGAAACGGUAGCUAAUACCGCAUACCAUCGGAUGUGCCCAGGUGGGAUGAGCUAGUAGGUGGGGUAACGGCUCACCAAGGCGACGCUCCCUAGCUGGUCUGAGAGGAUGACAAGCCACAGUGGGACUGAGACACGGUCCAGACUCCUACGGGAGGCAGCAGUGGGGAAUAUUGCACAAUGGGCGAAAGCCUGAUGCAGCAAGGCCGCGUGUAUGAAGAAGGCCUUCGGGUUGUAAAGUACUUUCAGCGAGGAGGCGGUACUUGCAGAAGAAGCACCGGCUAACUCCGUGCCAGCAGCCGCGGUAAUUC